rnacentral:rRNA from 1 species
UACGUAGGGGCAAGCGUUGUCCGGAAUCAUUGGGCGUAAAGCGCGUGUAGGCGGCUCGGUAAGUCUGCUGUGAAAGUCCAGGGCUCAACCCUGGGAUGCCGGUGGAUACUGUCGAGCUCGAGUCCGGAAGAGGCGAGUGGAAUUCCCGGUGUAGCGGUGAAAUGCGCAGAUAUCCGGAGGAACACCAGUGGCGAAGGCGAACUUCCUGGCCUGUUCUUGACGCUGAGGCGCGAAAGCUGGGGAGCAACGGGA